GGCCUUUUAGAGCCAUCAAUCUGGCUGUUGUGUGGAGGAUGGAUUGGAGGGACGAGCAAUUAGAAGCAAAGAGAUCAGGAGUCUCUUGCAUUUCUUCAGAAGCGAGACAGUGAGAGUUGUGGACAGCGCUGGCAAGGAGUGCUGGGAGUGAAGGACAGAUUGGAGAAACAGUUAAUGGAUAGAGUCAACUGAGAGAAAGAGUUUGCACCCCCUUUCUGACUGCUUCUCUUUCUUCCUUUAUGCCUUUCUGUUUUCCACCGAGGUCUUUGAGCAGAUAUCCAGAACCUGUGAUCAGAAGUAUUUGUGCCAACAUCACGACCUUUAUCUUUGAAAGUAUUUUGAAAUUAGUAACCACAGAUAAUUGAAGAAGCCAACAAGUAGUGGGAGAAGUGGGGGAGGAAACUGUUCUUAAAAAUGAAUUCCAAAAGGGACAGACCAGUUACCUUAGUGGUCAGAUCUGCUCCCAAUUCUACUAGAGGAUUGCGGAUGGAGCUGUGUAUCUGUGCAUCUUUUAUUGCCAUCUUUCCUUUUUAAAAUUUUUAAAUUUAUUUUUUAUUAUUUUUGGCUGUGUUGGGUCUUCGUUGCUGCACGUGAGCUUUCUCUAGUUGCAGCGAGCGGGGGCUACUCUUCGUUGCGAUGCGUGGGCUUCUCAUUGCGGUGGCUUUUCUUGUUGUGGAGCACAGGCUCUAGGCACGUGGGCUUCAGUAGUUGUGGCAUGCAGGCUCUAGAGAGCAGGCUCAGUAGUUGUGGCGCACGGGCUUAGUUGCUCCACAGCAUGUGAGAUCUUCCUGGACCAGGGCUCGAACCCAUGUCCCCUGCAUUGGCAGGUGGAUUCUUAACCACGGCACCACCAGGGAAGCCCUCCUUUUUUAAAAAAAUCCUUUUCUCCUACCAAUAAAAGCAAGCUUGUUAUCCUUUUCAUUUGAGGGUAACUACUAUACCCUCAUUAAGCCCUGUGAUUUCUUCAUUCGUUGUCUAGUCAUAAUCUUAAUUACCCCUGCUUAAAAAAGCUUAACCUACUUAAAGGAGAAAUAACAAACUAAUCCUAGUUUGACAACACAUGUACAUUGCAUCUGGCAUUGGAAGCAAAAGGGUUUACCCAGCACCUAUCACUGUGUGGCUUCCAGGGGGAAAAUGCAAAGAAGCAAAGGCUCAGAGUUAUCUUCCUCUCUUCUCUCUGUCUCAUGCAUGGAGUCAGCUUUGGGAAUGGACUCACUCACUCCAAGCCUGAGCUCCAGAGAACUCCACAGCGCAUGUGCCCUAGGGCCAUCCAGCUUUCUGUAACAGAGAAAUGAAGUAGAACUCCUCCUGGUGAGGCUGUAAAUCAAUUAGAAUUUGAGAAACAUAAAACUGAAAGCCAGAGAGGACUGGCUGCCAGUCACACAGUGUGUCCUUCUGCCACGGCAUUCCUGCCCCAAUGAUAUGGGUACCAAUGUUUAUUCUGUUCUGGCAGAAAAAAAAAAAAAGCCCCAACUGGUGCAGCUCACAGCACUUUGGCUCAGAAGGGACCCAGCACACUCACACACCUGUGCUGCUCAUCCAGCCGUCAGGUUUUGAUGAUGGGAAUUGCAAGACAGUAAAGACAGUGCCUGCUGUUCAUUCAGGGGAAAAAGUGAAAUCUGCAGCUCAGCAGUCUUCUGGGUAAAUGGUGUUCACAGUUUGCUCCGGGCUUCCUGAUGCUUCCAUUUAAACUACUAUUGUUCUGUUUUCCUGGAGGAAGAAGAAAGAAAACGAAAAGUUUUAACUGGGAUUUUUCAGGUGGUGGGGCCUAUUUAUUUGUUUUUAGUGGUGAAAUUGACUUUAUUCAGCACAUUUCUUUUUAUUCCUGGAGAAACAAAUUCAGAGCAUGUGCAGAACCAGGGAAACGGAAGAGGUGAGAUGGAGUAGGUUCUCAGUUCGCUUCCUGCUUACAUGCCUGGAACGUUUCUCUAAGGCAGAAUUUCCUAAACAGGGUGGAUUUCAGUGUUCCAAAAUACUGAUCCUUUCAACUCACAGGUGGCAGGACAAGACCUGAAAGGGCCUCCAGUGGCCUUCUCCAUGUAUCUCAAGUCACUUCCAAAUAUAGUCCUUUUGUGUGUAUAGCAAGAUGUGACAUUUUUAGAGGCACUAAGAAACACUGUUUUAGAGCCUAACAGUCCCAAAUUCUUGGAGAGAAACACAAGAUGGCUAUUUGACCCCAUCAAGCCUCUGGUUUGCUAGGUUGUGUGGAUGUGUAUGUGUUUUACAUAUAUACACAUGUAUGUAUAUAUGUGUGUCUGUACAUAUAUCUAUAGAGAGAAUUAGAGAGUUAAUCAAGCGUGGUGGCUAAUAGCAUAUGCUUUGGAGUCUAGAAGAUUUGGUUUGAAACUCAGUUUCACCAUUAUCUCACUGCAUGCGACCUUGAGCAGGUUAUUAAACCCCUCUGAACCUUGGUUUCCUGGGGAAUAAAUACCUACCUUUCAGGGUCAUGACCUUGAGCAAGUCACACUCUGUUCUUCAGUUUCCUCAUCUGUAAACUGGGAAAAUAAUAGUAUCUAUCUCGAACUUUUGCUGUAAGAAUUAAUAUGUUAACUCAUGUCUUAGUAUAUGAGUUAAUAUGUAUAUAAAUCAGUUAGAACAUUGCCUGUUAUGUGAUUAACUAUGAAGUUGUGAGUCUUCAUUAUCAUUAAUCAUCAUCAUCAUCUCGUAAAAUGUUUAGCACAAUGUUUAUCCUGUUUAGCACAGGAUAGCUAUCAUCAUCAUUAUUAUCAUAGUUAGAUUUGGGGAAGAAAAUGUUUUUGUUCCCACCACAGAAAACCAAAAUGUGUGGAGCUCUGACAAUUGCUGAGAACAUAGGAGAUAAGACUCUUUUCUGAGUGAGUGUAAAGUAGAUGUCAUCUUUGCAGCCUAGAAGAUGAGCUCCAAUGCAGGCCUCUUAUCUAGUCAAAAGUCUCUUCUCUUUACCCCUUUCUUUCCAGCCUCCCUCCAUCAUAUUCCCGUCUUUGUUAAAGCACUUAUCCAUUAAUUCUGCCAAAAAGAAAAAUGGGAAUAUUUGUGUUCUUUGGAACCCUGGCCUGUCCUUGCCAUAUCAAAAAGCCGGCUGCCAAGGAAAAUUUGCCCUGGGGCUCCCUGGCUUCCCCUUGGCAUUCCCGUUCCACUGCUCUCCAUGUUGGCAGUGGAGGGAAACAAUGUUCAUGGGAAGGAGUGUGAAGAGUCAGCAAAAGCUGAGCUGAGCUAAAGUGUUAUUAGAAACAGAAGAAUAACCAACAAAUGGAGCUUUCAGACAGGAAAAUAGAGGCAACCAAGACCAAGUCCAGGUGGGCACCCCCAGGAGUCUUGGGGCAGAUAUAUUGUGCAGGGGUGUGACAUGGCAAAAUGACCCCCUGUGGACUUCUUGUUGCUCCCUGUCAUUCCAUCUCGGGGUCAAUCUACACCAUCUCUAGGAAUCCGAGCAGAGAGCAGCCCCUAGAAGAGGAAUAAAGCAGGAAUCGCUUCCCUGGUUCACCCUCCUUUUCCGCACGCAUGCUGGAUUGUCAGGGAGCUGGUAGAAGAGGGCAUGAGUCAGAACUUGAAUACUCCAACUAGAGUUCAUUCCAAAGCCCUCAGGACAGCAGCCCUGCUAAGGGGCUAGGAGAGCUGCGUGGGAGUCAGAUGGACCUGUGCUGAAAUCCUAACUCUUCUCUGCAACUGAAUGAUCAUACUCAAGUUAUUAAUUUCUCUAAGCCUUGGGACCCGCAUCUGAGACAUGGAAUUAAAGGCAGUUGCACACAUUACAUUGUGCCUGAACCAGUUAAUGUAUGGAAAGAACUUGCCACAGUGGGGCAUCACAGGUGCUUAAUAAAUGGUAGCUGUUGUUAUUCUAUCAUCAUUAUCAUUAACAUUAAAGUCAUGUAUAAACCGCUCUUCAAUGGGUCUGUCCACUGCUACCCCUGAGACAAAAUCUUUUUCCUUUUUUCACUCACAUCUGCUGGCAGCUUCCUGCUGGCCUUUCUUGACUCCUUUUCCUCUUUGAAUACUGCAACUGAUGUUGCUUUAAUCUGGGUUUUACUUGUAUAUAUGUGUUUACUCUUUGAGAUAGUCCUGGGACUCUGAGCUCUCCUUGAGCCACCCUGGUAAGGAGUGAGGUUGGGACAGAACCCAAGUCUCAGAUCUCAUCUCCUGCUCUGAUCCCUCCAAAGUCUUUUCCUGCCAUAUCCAAUCUGACUGAGGAGACUUAUAAACUGCAGAUGCGUUCAUGGGGCACUUGCUAGAGGCAGGAGAAGGGAAAUGAUACCCCCCCACGGAAUGAUCUCUGGGAGGGAAGGUGGAAGGGAGACUGGGUUACACAACAGGGAAAAAUCUUGCUGUCAGUAGCUUCUUAUUGGCAGUUAUUCUGGUUUCUGGUUUUCAAACUGCUGUGCAAAGUCAGCUACUGACAGUUUGGGCUGCCGUUUGAUGAUGGAAGAGGUUCAUAAGCCCAACUGAAGUUCUCCCAAGCCUCCUCCAUGGGAUUGUUUCAAAGAAAAAGAGAAAAAAUGCCAUUGGUAUCUUCUUUUUCCGAAGCUUUGAUAGUCUCUCCAGUUAUCAUUCUGGAAAGGACUCUGAUCUAGUAUUUCAUGAGAAAACCUAAAUGAAGCAUGUAAAAAUAAUCUUCUGUGGGGUCAUAGGAGGGAUGGCAUUAGAUGCUACAGAUGGAAAUGUUGGCUCAAAGGAACUGAGCUUCAGAAUGAACAGGACCCCUUGGACGGUUGUCGACACAGGGUCUCCCCACAGGUCAGAAUAGGGAAAAGGUGGUUCAUCCUCUUAAGUGGCAUGAAAAGAGGGCCUCAGGAUACUUAAAGAGAGACUCUGCAAUGCCAGGAUUCUAAGCCUUACAAAUCUAGCAGAUGUUUUUGGUAGAGAAUUUGGUUGGCUUUGAAAAAGAAGUAGAGGAAGACUUUUAACUCCGCGUGAGGACUCAGUCUUUGAAGGCUGAUUAAACGAAUACGUGGGUAAUACUGUGUGUUUCAGACAUCUCCCUUUCUUCGCUUCUGAACCCAUUUUCAAGUGAUUUUAUCCGAGAGUUUAUUGAAAUGGCUCAGAAUAUAAUUAUAUCUGUCUUCUUGGCCCUACCUGAGGGAUUUGCUCUUUUCCAUCUCUUAUGUCUAACGAAUUCUUGUCACUAAGUUGAAUUUCUGGAAUUAUCUAGCUGACAAAAGUCUAUAAAGUUUAGUGUGUCCUGGACAUAUCUAGUUAAAGAAUCAUAACUAAAUUAAUAUUUACUGUGUUGCAGAGUGGAACUGAGGUCUGCAUCCCCUCACUAGAGGGGGUAAAACAAUGAAAUGCAAUGAGAUGAAGUGAUUCUAUCCUUCCAAGGACAAUUUCCUGUUCAACUUAAGCACCUUAACUUUGGUGGCUAAGCUAAGGACAAUCUACUUUCUUCUUGUCCCUCCCUUAACAAGGAACUUAUUAAUUCAUUCAUUCACUCAACAAAUAUUUAUUGAAUAUCUGCUGUGUGAUAGGAACUUUUCCAGAAGCUGGGAAUAUAGUAGUGAAUAAAACCAAGUUUAUGCUCUCAUGAAAUUAUAUUUUACUAGGAGGCGAUAGACCAAUAACCUAAUGACUAUAUUAUAUAAUGCUGGUGGAGAUAAGUGCUAUGAAGAAAAACAAAGCAGGCUAUCUAGCAGAAGACUUGUUUGGAAAGCAAACUAUUUGACUAGAGAGAAAGUAAAACACUAAUACUUUUUUUUGUUGUUCCUGCACAGUUUAUUAAGUAAAAAGUACAUUUUUAAACCAAAGAAUAAGCCAGGGUUAAUUCUAAAUGCAUUUAUCAUGUGUCUAGUUGCUUUUGGUUUCAGAUUUUUUUUUCUUUAUCACCAGAUAUAUAGCUUGAGAUUUCAUCUGCCUAAAGAAACAUGUUAUCAUUAAGUUAAGUUUUGAUAUAUGGCAGAAAUAACAUGACCAAAGCAUUAACACUUCAGGCAUCCUUCAACCUGUACAGUUUUGCCACUUGAAGGGCUCAGGACUCUCAAAUGAUGUUAGUGGUGCUCAGCAAAGAUAAACACCUUUGUGCGGACAUGGAGACGUGUACUUGUCAUAAAGAGGGAACCGUGUCUCAGGGUCAGGUUUGACUGACCCGUGAACACCAGCACUUACCUCAGAGAUGCGCUGGGCAGAAAUAGGCUUGUGAUGCUGAACCCGACACAUCCAAUUUAUUUCUCCUUCUUUUUUUGGCUUUAAAUCUGCAUUUUAAAAAUCGUGGUAAAAAACACAGAACAUAAAAAAAUUACCCUCUAAUUUUUAAGUGUACAGUACAGUACUGUUAACUAUAUACACAGUGUUGUACAGCAGCUCUCUAGAAUUUUUUCACCUUGUAUCACUGAAUCUUUAGACCCAUUGAACAGCAGCUCCCCAUUUCCCCCUCCCCUGCAUUCUACUUUCUGUUUCUCUGAGUUUGAUUAUGUUAGAUACCUCAUAUAAGUGGAAUCCUACAAUAUUUGUCCUUUUGCGACUGGCUUAUUUCACUUAGCAUAAUGUUUUCAAUUUUCAUCCAUGUCAUAAUGUUGGACAGGAUUUCCUUCUUUUUUAAGGCUGAAUAAUAUUUCAUAUAUAUAUAUAUAUAUAUAUACACACACACAUACCACAUUUUCUUUAUCCAUUCAUUCAUCGAUGGACAUUUCAUUUUGGAUGGUGGAUCCAAAUUUGGGUUUGUGGAUUGUGCUGCGGUGAACAUGAGUAAGCAAAUAUCUCUUCAAAAUCCUGUUUCCAAUUCUUCUGGGUACCAAUUUAGGCAUUCUUGAACCACUGUAUGAUGUGUUGACCCUGAAUGAAAUGCAUGGAUCACUCUCUUUGUAAUUUGCAGUGGUUCCUCCAACCCCCAUACACCAAGUACCAGCUGUCUCCCAGGCUCCGGAGACCCAGAGGAGAAUAGUAAUAAAAGCUAACACUUCUAUGAUGCUGGGCACUCUUUUAAGAACCUUGGGAGGUAAGUACUAUUAUUGUCACUCAGGGAGAAUGCUGAGGCAUACAGUUAACUGGCAAGAAGAAAAUGGGGCUUAGUCUCAGGCAGUUUGACCCCAGAGGCUGUGCUUGUAACCCUUACACUGAACAAUCUCUUCUUUGCCUUCCAAGUGUUCAGGGUAUGGCAGGACGGGGCUGACAGACAAGGAAAUGACCACAUUCAACAGUGCAGGAAUUGCUGCUGUGUAUACGCUCAAACAAUUUGCUUUGGAAACAUGGAGCAAAAAGCACUGAACUCUAUGAAGUUGGGCAGGAUUUUUCUAGAGGCAGAGAGGUUUGUGUUAAAUCCUGACAGGUGAGUGGGAGGAACAAAUGAACAAAGGGGCAUUUAAGGUACCUUCCAGGUAAAACAAAAUCCAUGUUUUUUCACACCUGUUUCGUGCAUACCUGCAUUCAAUACCUGCUGUUCAAUUUGCGUGUGCUAGACCAGACUGCAAGUAUUUUGUGUAUUAUUAAUCCCAAACCCUUGUCACUGGAGGGCAAGUAUAAUAAUCCUCAUUUUACAGGUGAAGAGACUGAAAUUCAGAGAGGUGAAGUAUGGUGCCCAAGAACAUCCAGCCGAAGUCCAAGUCCAGUUUGUCGGACUCUCGAGCUGGUACUCCUGACACUCUGUGAAGUAUAAAGGGAAGACAGAUGAGGUAGAAGUCAAGCUCUUCACCCUUGGAGACCCCUGAGGGUGCAGUUGCCCAGGCAAAGGUGUGGUGUGAGCUGGUCCAACUUGGUCCACUGACUGAUAAACCUGCCUGGAGUACACAGCAGAAAAGGAAAGGUUAAGAACAAGGGCAAGGUAGCAAGCCCUUUCUUUAAAGAAAAGAAAGCGGGGCCUCCCCCCCGCCCCCUACUCCCGAGCUUAGCACUUGGGCACCGCGGUGGAGCUGGGUGUUUGGUUGCCUUGCAGCCACUGUUCUCCUCGGUCUAAGGUUGCAGUGCAAGGCUCCGUUCACCUGACACUACUGAAAAGCGGAGCGAGUGAAACAGUGGCUUAUCACAAGGCACCGGAGGUCUCUGUUUCUGGCUGCGUUCUACUGUGCACUUGGCAUUCUGAAAGCACUUGUAGAUGGACUGCCAAAAUGCCAGCUUUUUUUUUUUUUUUUUUAUAAAUCCAAGGUAGGAUCAGAUUUUCUCUCCAUCCACCCUCCACCCCCUCCCCCAAGGUAGUAAUCGCAUCAUAGGGAAACCUGAGCUGCUUGUUUUUUGCCGCUUGUUCCUAUUUGCCUGGAAAAUACAUUUGCUGGAGAAGAAUCCGGGAGGAGCUCGGUCUUGAUUUAUUGCUCUUUCCCUGUGAAAUUUUUGCUUCUGAGAAUUCUAUUGUGUCAGAACUGGGGUGGGAUUUAGGUCUUGCUCUCAAGGACCUGAGUCUUGGUAAUAAGAUUAAUAAAGGGCAUAUUCUGGUCUUUCAAGCACUGUGAUGUGGGCACUUAUUAAGGAGAACGGAGAAGGGAUGGUUUGUUAAAUUGCUUUGCUGAUCCUGUGGACCUUUACAUACUACCCUAAUGCACACGAUGGGCAGACUCAGAGGUUCGAGGCUGUCUCACAGGUCCUCCCCAGAACUCUGCAGCACGUCUCUAUCUCCUCAUUCUCUCCCACACAUAACGCCAAGAUGCCCUUGACCAAGGGGCUCAGAAGAGGAAUAAGUGUGUUUUGCCUUCAAUUCAAACAUCCUUAGUGAUAUAGGUGCUCCACGAAUGUGUGUUGAAUGGGUGAGCUGGGAUUUAGGAAAGAGUGGGCGAUGGUGGAAAUGGGGGCAACAGGCUGGUAGAGAGUGAGGAAGAGAAUGGUAGUCCAUAGUAGGAAGGAAGACAAAGCUGGUGUCCUAACCUCCUUUGCUUUCUCCACCACCAAAAUCCUUUACAGUCCUGGCUUGGGAAAUCCAAAUAUGCUCAAUAUGUUCACACAGAGGAGGACUUUUCUCUUUGCAAACAUGCUUGGGGAGUAUUUUUAGUAGAACUUAAAUCUGUUUUUACUUUGGGUUCGAAGAGCAACUCACAUCCAAUGACAUUUUCUCUUUUGUGAGACAAUCAUGUAGUUAAGCACUUGUCAGCAAUGGCCACAGGAUAGGUUUCUUUUUGUAACUGCCCCAAAGUUUGAAGGGAAAGGUUUUUGUUUUUUUUUUUAAAUCAUUUCUCAAUUCAGAAACUGUAUUUUGGUAGAUAUGGAGGAAAGGACACUUUUGAUAAAUAUACAAGGAGAUGAAACAAGGAUUACCUUGAUUUUAAUUAUGACAAUAAUCCAAUUGCUCUUUUUCGUGUGUGUGAUUUUUAAAAACCACUUUAUUGAUAUAUAAUUUACAGUCCAUAAAAUUUACUGUUUAAGUAUACAAUUCAGUGGAUUUAAUUUACUUAUAGAGUCGCUACUAUCACCAUAAUCUAAGUUUGUAGCAUUUUCAUCCCCCUAAAUAGAAACUAUGUACCUGGUAGCAGUUACUCUUCAUUACCUCCAGCCCCCAGCCCUAGGCAACCACUAUUCUAUGGAUUUGUCUGUACGGAUUUGCCUCUUCUGGACAUUUCAUAUAAGUGGAAUCAUCUAAUAUGUGGUCUUUCUUGUGACUUCUUUCACUUCGCAUAAGGUUUUCAAGGUUCAUCUGAACAAUGUCUUAGCCAGUAUCAGUACUUUACUCCUUUGUAUGGCUGAAUAAUAUUCUGUUGUGUGGAUAUACCACAUUAAUUAAUUUUUUUACUUUUAAAAAUGAUUUAUUUAAAAAUUUUAAUUUUAUAUUGGAGUAUGGUUGAUUUAAAAUGUUGUGUUAGUUUCAGGUGUACAGCAAAGUGAUUUAGUUAUACGUAUACAUGUAUCUAUUCUUUUUCAGAUUCUUUUCCCAUAUAGGUUAUUAGAGUUCCCUGUGCUAUAUAGGUCCUUGUUGAUUAUCUGAAAAUAAUCCAAUUGCUUUUAAAUGACAAAAUACAAAGUUAUAAGGAGUUGGGAUCAUAAUUUCUGAAUGUGUGAGGUAAUUAUGUACAUUCUUAGUGGAGUUAGACUUAACUCCUGAAUUGUAAUUUAUUUGUGGUAGAGUGUCAUUCUUCAACCUUUUACUAAGUUGGGGGUCAGAAUAAUUUGAUACACAGUCGUACCUAAAUACUUCCAUAGAGAGGAAAAAAAGAGAUUAAAAUGCUGCCAGUUUACUGUGUGAUAUCACUUAUAUGUGGAAUCUAAAAAAUACAGCAAACUAAUGAAUAUAACAAAAAAGAAACAGACUCACAGAUGUAGGGAACAACCUAGUGGUUACCAGUGGGGAGAGGGCAGGGGAGGGGCGAUAUAAGGAUAGGGGAUUAAGAGGUACAAACUAUUAUGUAUAAAUAAGCUACAAGGAUACAUUGACCACACAGGGAAUAUAACCAAUAUUUUAUAAUAACUAUAAGAGGAGUAUAACCUUUAAAAAUUGUGAAUCACUAUACUGUACACUUGUAACAUAUAGUGUUGUACAUCAACUAUACGUCAACUAAAAAAAAGAGAGAGAAGAAUCUGGAAAAGACAAAAUCUAUGAGACCUUGCUCCACAUUGCUUGUCGUGAUGCUUGAGGCUAAAGAAGAUGACUUCUGCUUUAAUACGUUGAGGCCUAGAGGAACAUAAAAUGGACUCAGAUUCCCGGUGGUCUUCACUGGACAGCAAAGCAUGCUUGGAAGAUUUCCUGGUAAGAACCUGAGACCCUGUAAGAGCUCUGAGGUCAAGGACAAUGUCUCUCCUGUUCAUAGCUCUAUUCAGGACACCUAAUAAAGACUUCUAACCCAGUCUAUGAAGGAUGUUUCUGAAUCUUCCAAUCAGAGAACCUGGACUCUAAGUUGCAAGUGGAGAAGUCAUCUUGUGUUUAUAAAAUGACCAAAGGAAUAAAAAAGAAAUGCUAAGGAUGGCAGAACAUAAAGAGAGUAGACUGGGAUUUUAGUAAUAUCAUGGGUUUACUGCACCAGCCCUGCACUGCCUAUCUAUAGCCAUCUUUUUUUUUUUUUUGUAUGACAAAAUAAUCCCUCCUUUGGAUAAUUCACAAUAGGUUAGUGAGUGAAAUGUACAGCUAUUGGAACACCUAUAUAGUACCCCCAUGUACUAUAUGCAUAUACAUAUAUAUACUAUAUACUAUAUACAUGUCAAUGUCAUACCAUAACUCAGUUAUUUAUUUUCUUACCUCUUUAUCUUUGCUAAUUUUUUCUCUCCAAUUAGAUGAUUAUCUCCUUGUGGGUGGGUAUGAUCUUAUAUGCCUUUAUCAAUAUUUUAUCAUUAUUCUUAGACACUGUUAGAGGCAUCUAAGUAAUUGAGUGCAACUAACAUGCAAUUACAUCAAUCAGCCAGUAACUAUGUAAUAAUAUAAACUAUGCAUCCAGAAUAAUAGAGAUCAUGCAAGCUGGGGGAGUUUGCAGUUUGGAGUAGUUUUAUUUUGAUACUAGAAGUCAGAUCGUUGCAUAUGGGUUUUUAAUGUACUUGUUUUAAAAUGGUCGUUGAGUCUUUUCAUACAUUAGAUUGUUAUAUUUCAGUAUUUAAUUUCAUUAUAUUUUGCAUUAAAGGAGUGCUUGUAAUUUCAGCAGCCAGUGUUAAAAACAGAAUAAUUAGAUGAUAGAGUCAGGCAGCCUUAUAAAACCUAUUUAAACUAUAUCUUAAUGUAGUUCUUAUUAUGGGAUAAAUCAUAUAAUACUAUGAAGAUAUUCUUGCACUUCCAAUGCAAAUUUGAAAGAAAUAUUCUUUCAUUAGCUGUGUAAGAAGCCAUUCCUGCAAUUCAGGAAGUCAAGAAACUGAAAGCCUGGGCGUUGGAUGAAUUAUCUAUAUAGAGUUAAGUUCACCAAGAUGAUAAGAGUAAAUGAUAGAGAGGGAAAGAGUGAGCCAGGUACUAAAGUGACUGAUGAAUGAAGAAGAUUGAUCAAGAGGUAAAAAACAGCAAAAUGAAAGUCAGCAAGGGAUAUUGUCAAAUGAUUAUGUAUUGGUAUCAAGUAUUAUUAUUAAAAGCAUUAUUUUAUUAAAGUUUUGAUUUUUCUUUCCAAUAAUUAUUUAUGAAAGUAAUUUUAAGUUUCUAAAUUAAUGGUUUUCUUUUAUUUGUUCUUUAUUUUGAAUUUUAUUAUAUUUUGACUAUAUAACAUGGCCUGUUUAAUUCCAUUUAGUAGAACUUAUUGAGGAGUUCUUUGUGGCUUAAUACAUGGUCAAAUCUUAUCAGUGUUUCACUGUUGUUUUAAAAGAAUAUCAUUCUCAUUUUGAGGGGUCUAGAGUUUGAUAUAUAGCUCUUGAGUUCAUCUUACUAAUUAUAUUAUUCAGAGAGUGAGGAAAUCAAACCCACAGUUUAACUCAUUUUGUAUUAAACUCAGAAUAAUAUGUGUAUGCUAUUAUAUAGUUUGUUGUGUGGAAGAAAACUUGAAAAUUUAAAGAAUUUGAAAGAUUAACGCUGUGAUUCUGACUUUAAAAUAUUACUUGAUGCUAAGUUUGUUAUUUUAAGCUGAAAGUUGUUAAGAGAAUUUGCUUAAAUUUUAAAAGACUAUUGAAAUAUUUUAAAAUAAUUUGUAAUUAACUCUAAAAAGUUGUGUAAAAGCUAAGGAGGAUUUGCCUAGUAGUGUUGUGUAUGUAUCUGCCCGAUCAAGCACUUGAAGUUCUUCAAAAGAAAAUAAAAUAUACUAAUCUAAAUGCA